rnacentral:rRNA from 1 species
GAUGAACGCUGGCGGCGUGCCUAAUACAUGCAAGUCGAGCGAACAGACUAGGAGCUUGCUCCUCUGACGUUAGCGGCGGACGGGUUAGUAACACGUUGAUUACCUACCUAUAAGACUGGGAUAACUUCGGGAAACCGGAGCUAAUACCGGAUAAUAUAUUGAACCGCAUGUUUCAAUAGUGAAAUACUGUUUUGCUGUCACUUAUAGAUGUAUCCGCGCCGCAUUAGCUAGUUGGUAAGGUAACGGCUUACCAAGGCGACGAUGCGUAGCCGACCUGAGAGGGUGAAGGGCCACACUGGAACUGAGAAACGGUCAAGACUCCUACGGGAGGCAGCAGAAGGGAAUCUUCCGCAAUGGGCGAAAGCCUGACGGAGAAAAGCCGCGUGAGUGAUGAAGGUCUUCGGAUCGUAAAACUCUGUUAUUAGGGAAGAACAAAUGUGUAAGUAACUAUGAACGUAUUGACGGUACCUAAUCAGAAAGCCACGGCUAACUACGUG